GUUCAUCUCUGGUCCCCAUCCAGACGGGUGCUCCCGGCCUCUCUCACUCCCGGCCGGUCCAGCCUGGCUUCACCCGAGUUUUGCUGUGAAAUCCGCCACUUUCGCUGGCCCCGGCAAAAAGCAAGGCGCCUCGUCCCGAGGGCAGAGUUUCUUGCAACUGCCGGAUAAACAUUUCCCGAAAGCUUCCCGCGGCCCCCACGCCCGGUCCCCCCACUUCACGAGCCCCGGGGAGGGGCCCACCUGCCUCCCGCCGCCCGCCCCAUACCCUGUCGCCGCGGCUGCACUCCAGGGCCGCACCGCAGCGCCCACUUCCCGGCCCCGAGCCCCCCACGACUCGGACGCCCGACCCUGAGGGACGGGGGCGCCAAAAAAGCACCCCCCGACACAAGUGACCCCACGACGCCCCCCAGAGGCCGUGUCCCGAGAGCCUGUCAGCGCCCCGGAAGGGGGUCAGGCGGGGGGCUGAGCGCCCGGUGUCCUCUCCGCUCCGGACGCCCUCUCCCGCCCCAAGGCACUCACCUGGCCCGGGGUCGGGGGUCGGGCGAGGAGGCCGCCGGCCCGCCGCGGCCCCCACCCUCCCGCUCCCAGCGCCCCGCGCCCCGAGCCCGAGGCGCGCCUGGAGCGGCCGGGGGAGAGGGCGCGGGGACGCGCCAGCGCCAGGGUGAGGGGCGCGCGAGGGGCGGGGGGCAGGGGGCGCGGCGAGAGCUGGGGAUCGGCGGCGUCCGCACUGAGAAAGCAGCCUCCGCCGCGUCCGUCAUGGCGCGCGGCGGCGGCAGCGGCUCCCUCCGGUCUCUCUGCUCCCUCGCCUUUAGUUUGACCUUUCCCUCCAGUGUGUCUGAGGGAGAGCGGCUGUGCGCGCGCGUGUACAUGUCUCUGUGUGUGUGUGCGCGCGCGCGUGGGGAAGGGGCCGGGUUCGCUCCCCGACGCCUGACGUCACUGCCAUGGCAACGGCAACCCCCGCCCCUCGCUUCCCAUUUCCUGUCCCCGCCCACUGUGCACGUUCUGGGGCCCUCACGUGCUCACUCACACGCACGCACGCAGGCACGCACUCUCGGGGCGCGCGCGCCCAGAGCGCUGGGGUUUGGGAGGUAAUUUGGACCUCCGCCUGCCUCCCUUCCCUCGCUGCCUCCCGGAAUUUGACCAAUCCCGUGAGGAGGAGCCGUGGGCGGGGCGGGCUCGGCUCCCGGAGUGGCGUGAAAAAUUUCCCGAGGCAGAGCGAAAAGUCUUCAUGCGUUACUGAGCAUGUCCGGUGCCCGAAGGGGCGCUUUGGACGCCAGUGAAGCGAGGAGAGGCGGAGAAGGAACCGAGCGGGCAGUUGAGGGAAAUCUCGGAGGAGGUUACCUGCGAUCAAACUGGGGCUGCGUAGUGUUAGGGUCAGGCAGCUUUGAAGUGGAAUCCGGAUCCGCCACUCUCGCUGCGUGAUAUUGGGCAUGCCAUCAAAGCGCUCUCAACCGAACGUCUCGGGUAAAAUGGGAUUAGUGAAGUCUACCAAGGUAGUUGUGAGGAUCAAAAGAGAUAACGCGGAAAACGCCUCACCUGGCACGUUAUAGAUCCUAAAUGCCUAGCUAUUAUUAUGGAGCCCACAACCUCCAUAUUUUACAACUGGGAACACGGGACUCAAAGAGAUUAAAAAACUAAAUGACUCACUCAAGGUCAGGUAGUGGUGGAGACCCAGGCUUCAAGUUCAAUACUCUUUGUCCUACAAAGCCUUCCCUUAAGCAGGGGUAAUAAAACAUUUCAGAAAAACCACCUUAAAGAGCAUCGCUUGUGAUCUGUGGAUCACUUGGUAGUCCCCACCUCCCUCCCAUCCCCGCAAAGGUUUAGAGCUGGACAUAAGGGCCUUGGUGCAACUUUUGGAGGGCAGUUGUUCAGCUUCUGAAUUUGCAUCUGAACGAGCAAUAAGGAAUUUUCUGGGAAGUUAAGAAUUUCCAAUAAAUCUUGGACUACUCUAAAAUGCACCAGAAAUUACGUGGUCACACUCGUGCAGUGAAAGAAGGCUUUGGCAGUAGCAUAAGACAUUAAGCAGAAGUAGGAAAUGCAGUGAGGAAGAAGUUGUAAUGUUUUCAACAGCUGCCACUAUGGAUCUAGGAUGAGAGCUUUCCACAUGUUGUUAAGAAUGAGAGACAGAUUACU
rnacentral:lncRNA from 1 species